GACGAACGCUGGCGGCGUGCUUAACACAUGCAAGUCGAACGGAAAGGCCCUGCUCUUGUGGGGUGCUCGAGUGGCGAACGGGUGAGUAACACGUGAGUAACCUGUCCUUGACUUUGGGAUAACUUCAGGAAACAGGGGCUCAUACCGGAUAGGAGCUCCUGCUGCACGGUGGGGGAUGGAAAGUUUCGGCGGUGGGGGAUGGACUCGCGGCUUAUCAGCUUGUUGGUGGGGUAGUGGCUUACCAAGGCUUUGACGGGUAGCCGGCCUGAGAGGGUGGCCGGCCACAAUAGGACUGAGAGACGGCCCAGACUCCUACGGGAGGCAGCAGGGGGGAAUAUUGCGGAAUGGGCGGAAGCCAGAGACAGCAACGCCGCGUGCGGGAUGACGGCCUACGAGUUGUGAACCGCUUUCGCCGGUGACGAAGCGUGAGUGACGGUAAUGGGUAAAGAAGCACCGGCUAACUACGUG
rnacentral:rRNA from 1 species